UACAGAGGGUGCAAGCGUUAAUCGGAAUUACUGGGCGUAAAGCGCGCGUAGGCGGUUAUUUAAGUCGGGUGUGAAAGCCCCGGGCUCAACCUGGGAAUUGCAUCCGAUACUGAGUAACUAGAGUAUGAGAGAGGGAGGUAGAAUUCCACGUGUAGCGGUGAAAUGCGUAGAUAUGUGGAGGAACACCGAUGGCGAAGGGCAGCCCC
rnacentral:rRNA from 1 species